rnacentral:rRNA from 1 species
GACGAACGCUUGCGGCGUGCCUAAGAAAUGCAAGUCGAGCGAGGCUUAGGCUUCGGCCGACGACCUAGCGGCGAACGGUCGCGUAACACGUAAGCAACCUGCCCUAAAGUUGGGGAUAGCCCGCCGAAAGGCGGAUUAAUACCGAAUGUGGAUAUGAUUUCGCAUGUGAUUAUAUCUGAAGCAGCGAUGCGCUUUAGGAUGGGCUUGCGGCCUAUCAGUUAGUUGGUGUGGGUAACGGCCUACCAAGACGACGACGGGUAGCUGGUCUGAGAGGAUGGUCAGCCGGAUUGGGACUGAGACACGGCCCAGACUCCUACGGGGGGCAGCAAUUAGGAAUCUUGCGCAAUGGGCGAAAGCCUGACGCAGCGACGCCGCGUGACUGAUGAAGUCUUUCGAGAUGUAAAGGUCUUUUGUUGGGGACGAAGGAAGUGACGGUACCCGACGAAUAAGCCCCGGCUAACUACGUG